AGGCCAUGGUGUGGACAAGCUCUCAAAAGGUCUUUAUAUCUGUCCCAGGCUUCAAAAAGUGAUUCACCUUGGUUUUGAUUAAAUCAAGUAAUCAGGUUCCUAAGGAU